rnacentral:rRNA from 1 species
GGCGAACGCUGGCGGCGUGCUUAACACAUGCGAGUCGAACGGAAAGGCCCUGCUGGUGUGGGGUGCUCGAGUGGCGAACGGGUGAGUAACACGUGAGUGACCUGCCCUGGACUUUGGGAUAACGUCAGGAAACUGGGGCUAAUACCGGAUAGGAGCUCCUGCGGCAGGGUGGGGGGGGGAAAGUUUCGGCGGUUGGGGAUGGAUGCGGGGCUUAUAAGCUUGUUGGUGGGGUAUUGGUUUACCAAGGCUUUGAGGGGUAGCCGGCCUGGGAGGGUGAACAGCCACAUUGGGACUGAGAUACGGCCCAGACUCCUACGGGAGACAGCAGUGGGGAAUAUUGCACAAUGGGCGGAAGCCUGAUGCAGCAACGCCGCGUGCGGGAUGACGGCCUUCGCGUUGUAAACCGCUUUCGCCUGUGACGAAGCGUGAGUGACGGUAAUGGGUAAAGAAGCACCGGCUAACUACGUG